CCAAUAGCGUAUAUUAAAGUUGUUGCAGUUAAAAAGCUCGUAGUUGAAUUUCGGGAUCAAUUUGCUGGUCGUGCCUCUGGUACGUACUGGUAUUAUUGGUUUCUCCCUUCUGACGAACCAUGAUGUCAUUUAUUUGGUGUCGUGGGGAAUCAGGACUGUUACUUUGAAAAAAUUAGAGUGUUUAAAGCAGGCUCACGCUUGAAUACAUUAGCAUGGAAUAAUGAAAUAGGACGUUUGAUUCUAUUUUGUUGGUUUCUAGGAUCGACGUAAUGAUUAAUAGGGAUAGUUGGGGGCAUUAGUAUUCAAUUGUCAGAGGUGAAAUUCUUGGAUUUAUUGAAGACUAACUACUGCGAAAGCAUUUGCCAAGGAUGUUUUCAUUAAUCAAGAACGAAAGUUAGGGGAUCGAAGACGAUCAGAUACCGUCGUAGUCUUAACCAUAAACUAUGCCGACUAGGGAUCGGAUGAUGUUAAUUUUUUAAUGACUCAUUCGGCGCCUUACG
rnacentral:rRNA from 1 species